rnacentral:rRNA from 1 species
UAGGGAAUCUUCGGCAAUGGACGAAAGUCUGACCGAGCAACGCCGCGUGAGUGAAGAAGGUUUUCGGAUCGUAAAACUCUGUUGUUAGAGAAGAACAAGGACGUUAGUAACUGAACGUCCCCUGACGGUAUCUAACCAGAAAGCCACGGCUAACUACGUGCCAGCAGCCGCGGUAAUACGUAGGUGGCAAGCGUUGUCCGGCUUUAUUGGGCGUAAAGCGAGCGCAGGCGGUUUCUUAAGUCUGAUGUGAAAGCCCCCGGCUCAACCGGGGAGGGUCAUUGGAAACUGGGAGAAUGGAGUGCAGAAGAGGAGAGUGGAAUUCCAUGUGUAGCGGUGAAAUGCGUAGAUAUAUGGGGGAACACCAGUGGAGAAGGCGGCUCUCUGGUCUGUAACUGACGCUGAGGCGCGAAAGCGUGGGGAGCAAACAGG